rnacentral:rRNA from 1 species
GGGUCAGUAGGUUGGUCGUGCCACCGGUACGUACUGGUCUCACUGAUUCCUCCUUCCUGAAGAACCGUAAUGUCAUUAAUUUGGUGUUGCGGGGAAACAGGACUGUUACUUUGAAAAAAUUAGAGCGUUUAAAGCAAGCUAACGCUUGAAUACAUUAGCAUGGAAUAAUGAAAUAGGACGAUCGAUCCUAUUUUGUUGGUUUCUAGGAUUGACGUA